ACGGCUCAGUAACACGUGGAUAACCUGCCCUUGGGUCCGGCAUAACCCCGGGAAACUGGGGAUAAUUCCGGAUAACGCAUAUGUGCUGGAAUGCUUUAUGCGUAAAAUGGAUUCGUCUGCCCAAGGAUGGGUCUGCGGCCUAUCAGGUAGUAGUGGGUGUAAUGUACCUACUAGCCGACAACGGGUACGGGUUGUGAGAGCAAGAGCCCGGAGAUGGAUUCUGAGACAUGAAUCCAGGCCCUACGGGGCGCAGCAGGCGCGAAAACUUUACAAUGCGGGAAACCGUGAUAAGGGGACACCGAGUGCCAGCAUCAUAUGCUGGCUGUCCGGGUGUGUAAAAUACACCUGUUAGCAAGGGCCGGGCAAGACCGGUGCCAGCCGCCGCGGUAACACCGGCGGCCCGAGUGGUGAUCGUGAUUAUUGGGUCUAAAGGGUCCGUAGCCGGUUUGGUCAGUCCUCCGGGAAAUCUGAUAGCUCAACUAUUAGGCUUUCGGGGGAUACUGCCAGACUUGGAACCGGGAGAGGUAAGAGGUACUACAGGGGUAGGAGUGAAAUCUUGUAAUCCCUGUGGGACCACCUGUGGCGAAGGCGUCUUACCAGAACGGGUUCGACGGUGAGGGACGAAAGCUGGGGGCACGAACCGGAUUAGAUACCCGGGUAGUCCCAGCCGUAAACGAUGCUCGCUAGGUGUCAGGCAUGGCGCGACCGUGUCUGGUGCCGCAGGGAAGCCGUGAAGCGAGCCACCUGGGAAGUACGGCCGCAAGGCUGAAACUUAAAGGAAUUGGCGGGGGAGCAC
rnacentral:rRNA from 1 species